GUGCUAACGUCCGUCGUGGAGAGGGAAACAACCCUGACCAACAGCUAAGGCCCCCAAUUCAUGGCUAAGUGGGAAAGCAUGUGAGACUUCCAAAACAACCAGGAGGUUGGCUUAGAAGCAGCCAUCCUUUAAAGAAAGCGUAACAGCUCACUGGUCUAAAUAAGAGGUUCUGCGGCGAAAAUGUAACGGGGCUCAAGUGAUGCACCGAAGCUUAGGGUGUGAUCUUCGGAUCACGCGGUAGCGGAGCGUUCCGUAGGCGAGUGAAGCGGGAGGGUAACCGACCGUGGACGUAUCGGAAGUGCGAAUGCUGACAUGAGUAGCGAUAAAGAGGGUGAGAUGCCCUCUCGCCGAAAGACCAAGGGUUCCUGCUUAAAGCUAAUCUGAGCAGGGUAAGCCGGCCCCUAAGGCGAGGCCGAAAGGCGUAGUCGAUGGGAACCAGGUUAAUAUUCCUGGGCC
rnacentral:rRNA from 1 species